UUGAACGCUGGCGGCAGGCCUAACCCAUGCAAGUCGCGCGGAUGAAGGGAGCUUGCUCCUGGAUUCAGCGGCGGACGGGUGAGUAAUGCCUAGGAAUCUGCCUGGUAGUGGGGGAUAACGUCCGGAAACGGGCGCUAAUACCGCAUACGUCCUGAGGGAGAAAGUGGGGGAUCUUCGGACCUCACGCUAUCAGAUGAGCCUAGGUCGGAUUAGCUAGUUGGUGGGGUAAAGGCCUACCAAGGCGACGAUCCGUAACUGGUCUGAGAGGAUGAUCAGUCACACUGGAACUGAGACACGGUCCUGACUCCUACGGGAGGCAGCAGUGGGGAAUAUUGGACAAUGGGCGAAAGCCUGAUCCAGCCAUGCCGCGUGUGUGAAGAAGGUCUUCGGAUUGUAAAGCACUUUAAGUUGGGAGGAAGGGCAGUAAGUUAAUACCUUGCUGUUUUGACGUUACCAACAGAAUAAGCACCGGCUAACUUCGUG
rnacentral:rRNA from 1 species